ensembl:ncRNA lncRNA:CR45650 long non-coding RNA:CR45650
AUUGUUGUUGCUGGCAUUCAUUAAGUUUCAUUCACCUUUCGCAGCAGGCUUUAUAUUGUAGUUUGUUUGUUUGCUUAGCUUUUUUUGGCCAUGCUUUUACAUAAUUGAAUUGAGUGACUAAUCAUACAUUCGUACUAAAGACCAAUGAGGAAAUGCCUUUCUAACAACCUGAACCUGACCCCAAAAGAACGGAAAAGAAUUUCCAACUGGAUACGAGAGAGCAAAGAAAACGAGCAAAGGUGAGGCAAGCAAACGCAAACGCAUUCGCUUUCGAUCGAUCGUCACUUUCCUUGGCCAGGAGAAGAAGAAGAACAAGCAGAAGAAGAAGCAGAAGACUCGUACUACCAGUUUUCUCCAAGAACCAAAAAGUCACGGUGACCCAUAUAACAUAUAACACCGCAGUCGCUGCUGACGUCAACAGAGCGACAGAGAGAGAGAGAGAGUGAACGAGUAAGAGUACAGAACAAACGCUAGACAGAAGAAAAGAGAAAGAGAGGGGGCACUAUCCAAUCGAAAAGAAAGCGAAAAAAGAAAUUUCAAUGCAGCGAAGCGUAGAAUGGAGAACGUAUGUUUGUGCUUGAAGUGCCAGCAAACAAACAAACACUGGCACACACGCACGCACACAAGCGCAGGUGAUCGUUUGCUCACCUACUUAAAAAUGUCGAAAAGUGUGUCAUCGAAGCGAGAGCGAAAGAGAGUGCAGGAGAGAGUAGAAGCUGCGCCAGAAGAGCGAGCAACAUUCUUUGCCGAUUUUACG